GUUGACAGUUGAAAAAUAUUAAAUUAGAUAGAACUUACAACUAGGAACAUUCCUGCAGUUGUGUGGACUAAGUCAGAGCACCCGCCAUGAGGCCCCAACCUUGCUGUAGGCCUGAGAGUUAAUGAGUUUUAAGCCUCUCACCUGGCCAGUGAGAGGUCCUUGGGAUAGAGAGAAGAGAACCAAUGCUCACUAAAGCACAAAUGAUGUGUAAAACCCCAUCGUGCAUCACUCCCACCAGAAAGUCUGAUGCCCCAGCAUCUAAACAAUUCUGAGCUAUCAAACAUUUGGAGGAGGAAUGGACAGUGGGUGGCGCAGGUAAACAGGAAGGACCUGCUUCCUCUAUCCCUGCUGGCUGCUGACAGGCUGAAAGCCCCAUCUUCCUGCGCUCUCCAGAGAACAGAAGACUUCCAUCAGAUUAGCACAACUGGAAAGCAAAAGUGACUUACUCCUUCUUGUCUACAUCCUAGACACAACCUUCCUUCCUUCACCAGAGCUCCUAGUUAUCCCUUCCCGUGGUGUGGGGAGACGAGCCUUGCCUGCAGCAUUGAGGGCAGGAUGCCCUUUUCUGGGGAAAUGGUCAGUAGAUUAUCUAGCUCUCAACUUUGCCCUUUGGUAUAAAUUCUCCCUUAUUAGUAAGUAGGAGGGUAUUGUGGCUAACCAGCACCUUCUCCCCUUUCACUCUCGCCUGUUCACAGCUUGUGCAGGAGGAUCAGAGAC